rnacentral:lncRNA from 1 species
AGUGGAGCAGAGUUGCGGCCAUUACUGUGACCUGCCAGGGAGUCCAGGCCUGUCGGUCGAAGCUCGGUUGGGGUGUUUGGUGGAGAGGGGUAGCUCUCCGACUGAGAGGAGCUCGGAUGUUGCUGGCGAGCUUUCUAUCAUUGGGUGCUUAGGGUGCUAGUACUGCAGGCGAAGGUCAUCCACUGUUGAAGCUCGAUCAGGGGCUUUCUGCUAGAGGGGUUUAGCUACUGGAGCC